CCUCGGCGCCGCGCUCUCUCUGACUCGCGCUUUUCGUUUGCUCCGCGGGGCGUUUCCGGGACCGGAGAGGUCGGCGAGGUCAGCGCGGGCCCCUGGCUGCCUCUGCCUGAGGGCGGCCGCGUGUGCCACAGAAGGGGCGACUGAGCGAGCAGCGAGGUUCAGAGUAUCCCCAGGCGUCUGCACCCCCAGCCUGCGCCCACAAAGCCGGCAGCGGGGCGGGAGGAGGCGUCUGAGUGCCUUUGACUCGCCCAGUGGCGUGAGGCAUCGACAGUUCUGCUGAAGUGGGGUCGGUGCGCAGGUGAAACUCCCUGGGCGCCAGGGGCCGUGAUGGACCCCGCCAGCCCUCCAAGAGCCCCCGGUCUGUCGGGAGGCAGGCGAGCACAGACGUGGUUCCCAGAUGAAGCUACAAGCGCAGGCUGCCGGAGAGUCCAGGCUGGGGUCCGCACGCUGGGAAAUGUCUUCCAGGAGCCACAAUCCGAAACGGUGUGAAGGGAUUGGUAUGACCGCACCCAUCCAAGAGGGCAGCGAGGCCCCACGGCAGGAACAGGACAGAAAGGCCAGGGACAGCAAAGAUCCAGGGGAGAGGAUUCUGGAGGGUGCUCGGUUUGGUUAGAGUUUACGGGUGAGGGGACGUUGGGUGGGCAAGAUUAACUGGCAUCGACCAUUAAGACCUUAGCUCAUAUCAGCACCCCAUCAGCCAGCCAGGAAUAUUUGAUAGCGAAGAAGGAAGGCAGGGGUGCAAAUCCCGAGAGACUGAAAGGAUGAGCAGACUGGGGCCAUCUCAGAGCAAAGCAGGGGCUCGUAUUGGCCAAGAGACUGUUAAGGUGCAUUUGUCAGGAGCUCUAUGCCACAGCAACAAACAGCCCCAGAUCUUAGAGUCCGAGCACAGCAAAGGUUUAUUUCUCACACACUUCAGAUCUGCGCAACUCUUGGAGACACGAUUAACCGAGUGGCAGGUGGCCCUCCAAGCUGCACCCAUGCUGUGUCUCUGUCUCCGCUCGAGACCUCCUAUCUGGUCAUCGUGUACAGAAGAGGGAGAGUCUUGGAGAAUCAUGGCUCCCCCUGGAUGUCACAGACAGCAUUCCACUUACAGUGCAUGGCCACACCAGUCACGUGACCCCUGACUGUGAGGGACUUAAUAAUGUCACUUCCCAAGGAACUGGAAGCAGAGGGAAACCAGGUAGGUUCAGCACCAGAGUCUCCGUCCAAAGGGCCUGAGAGCCCCAAGGACCAACUCUGCCUACACUCUUGUUUUGGCAGGAAGCUGUCUCGCUCCCCAAGGCCUGUCUGAGUCAUCUGUCAGCGGCAUAAGUACACAACCUUCUGAUUGGCUUGUUAGAUGUCACAUUAACAAAGUUUUGUGUAAAGUCUCUAGGAUUAGCUGAAUCCACCCUCAGACAGACCACCCCUCUCCUCUCCGGGUGAGGUCCCUGCUGGAAACACAAGCACCAGGAUAGGAUGGUGAGCAACGAAUUUAGCAGGGGCGUACACUGCAGAGGUUCACGGCUGUCUGCCCAACUUCCUCUUCCCUCCUGCCCUCACAGGAGUGGGCACAUGACCCCGGACUGGCCAAGCUCUGCCUCCCUGGCACAGGGUGUCAUGUCCUGUGGUUCCAGGAGUCAGGACCUGAUGGAAGUGGGGUGCCCCCAGGACAGCUAGAGAGCCCCAGCUCUUCGGAUAUAGGGGGCACAAAGGCCAGCUGAGCAAGUCGCCUCUUCUCCCCCAGGGGAAGCACCUGGGGACCAGUACCCCACAGCAAGUGCCUGCCAAGCAUCAACUGUGACCCACUGAUGUGUUGGACACAGCUCGGUGCAAGGCAGCCAGCAGAAGACGGAGCAGAUCGCACACUGAGUACGUCACGCUUAGGGUGAGUGGACGUUGUUUCCUAAAAUUUGCAUCAGUUACAGAUACACAUAUAUGUUUGUGUGCGAGCAUCUAUACAGAAAAUGCGUGUGUAUCACAGGAGGGGUGAAUGUGGGGUGAGUGUUUUUUCUGAAAAUUGUCUCCAUGAGAGAUAAAUGUUCGUAUUUUGUAUACACAUGUACACACAUUAUACAACCAUGCGUAUAUACACGUGUACCCUCGUGUGUGUAUGGGGUUGCCGUGUGAAUUGCAUCGUCUCCCGUGAGCCACAGCCAACGAAGUUGGAGAAACUCUCUUGUAUUCUGUUUACUUAAAGAGAAAGAAAAACAAGUCAAAGUUCCCUUGACUUCUCAGGAAACAGGCAGCACAUGCUUUUAGUGCAGGCUCUGAAGGUUAAGGGGGGAAGCCUGUGUCCCCAGCUGCCACAGGCACUGGAAGGCAUGUUGGCGUCGCCCGUGGACAUCCAGGAAAGCACUUGGACCUAGGAGGCAGGAAACCUUGGCUCCGAGACCGUGGCCGAUACUCCAGCUUCCUGGAUCCUCCAUGUUUCUUACCUGCCUGUGUCUUGACGCUGAUUUGAGCCUAAGCAUGAUAUCACAUGUGAAGGUCCUUACCUGUGGCCCUAAGGAGACCCUCCUUCCUUCUCAUUCUCACAAGCAGAGGUUUUUAACUUGCAGAGAAAACCCAAGGCAUCCCCGACAUGCACUACAGUGACAAAGGCCUCUUAGAACCAACCCCACCCCCCUUGCACGCAACUCACAAAGGAACAAGACAGAAACUUAAAAUAAGCAACAACAACACACACGGAACCCGCCCAGUCCCUCAGCCAGCGAGCGUAAGAUACACACAGGAAGGAAGUGGCUGGGGGAUUCAAAGAGGCCGAGCUGCGAUGUCUCAGGAAAGGAAUAUUUUCCAACCAGCCUGCCCCAUCUGUGGUUGGGAACAAGGUUUCAGACGCAGCCUUGUCCAGUGCCCCCUCCUGGACCCCCCACUGGCAGUCUAGACACAACAGUGAGGCCAGAUCCACACAGGAAGGCACCCAGCGGGCCCAGCAAACCUGUUCCCACUGGUCCUCGGGCAGGCAGGCGUGGGCGGCUGCGCAGUCUGAAGGGCUGAGGGAAGACCUCCAAGGAGCUGGUUUCUCCGUGUGCUCCCUGCGACUGACUCACCCACAAACCUGUUUUUGAUUUCUCAUCAAAACCAGCUUCAGGCCCCGACAGGUCCAGCCCCCUGGAGGGUGUCACUCCCUAGCAGAAUCCCUUCGACACCCCUGCGACCCGGGAGGGCACCCCUGCAGGACCCGGCUCUGAGCCUGUCCUGCCUCUGCCACCGCCCACCCAGGUCCGGGCUCACUGGGUGACCAGCACCCUAUUUGUCUAUUCUCUUUGUUCUCUUUGUUUGUGCCCUUCCUCUCUGCCUUCCAUCCGAGAGCCCAUUCCCAUCCCCAGCGCCUAGCUCAAGGCCACUUCCUCUGCGCACCCUCCCUGACUCUCCCUUGCUUGGACCAAUCUGGCGUUUUACCAUCACGGCAGCCGUACGUCCAGCUGUGUGAGGCUGAGCAGGUUGAUGAACUAACUCCCUGAGCCUCCUUCCCCGUCUGUAGGACGGGGAUAAUCAAGUUGCCAGCUGGGGCGAGAUCAUGGCAGCAAGGCACUGAGCCUGUGAGUGGUGCCCCAGGGCUCCAUCAAUGUCAGGUCCAGCAGUCAUGAGGAUAACUGGCCUUCCAUCCUCCGGCAGGCGUAAUCUCUCUGCAGUAGGACUCAUUGGCCCUCCCUCCAUUUUCCCUUAGUGCCUAUAGAAUCGUCCCUGCAUACAGCAGGUGCUCAAAAAAGAAAGGUGAGGGGCAGUGUCUCCUAGCUGUCUGGGUCCUGGAGACCCUGCAGCGGGGGAGGCAGCUAAGAGCCGGAGGGUGGCAAACAGCACCCCUUGUGGGAGGGGCAGGAGCAGCUGGGGUGGCCACACCUCGGCUGCUGGGGGCCAACGUCCACUGCCUGGCGCCCGAGACAUUGGUCAGCGCCGGCCCUCCUCCAGCCAGGCAGGGGCCACGCUGCGUACAUACCCAGGGCUUGGGAAGACCUCGCAGGUUGAGCACGCAGUGUGGGUGUGCCUCUGAGUUGACGUUCCCUGGGCCCCUUGAAGUUUCUAGAAUCCAAGCCCUCAGGCUGGAUGGGCAUCCCCACCCCUGACCUUCAGCAGGAAGAAACCAAGCACACUCGCCCACAGAGGCCAGAGCUGACCAGGUGCCUGCAGGGUCAGAGGCUGGCUUCUCCUUUUCCUCCUCCAGAGGCCAGCGAAGGAAGGAAUAUGAAAGGCUGGCAUUCCGGGGCCCUGCAGUGGGCUCAGGCAGAGGGUGAUGGUGUUGAGGUCACUUCGAAUUUCCAGGUGGAGGCUCUGUUCCUCAAGUUAAAACAAACACUUUGUUCUUGAGAAUUUCAGGACAGAGAAUUGUUGAGGGUUUCUGGCUUUAACCAAAUGAAUGGGCUGUUCUCAGGCCUGUGAAAUAGAGAGGCCCGAAGGACCAAGGCCGAGAGGGUGCCAGGACCUGAGCAGACCAGCAAGGCUGGCCUUGGACCUUUUGGCCCAGCACCAGGGCCCGAGAAGAGGGGUGAAAGAAGGGUUUUGGAGGGGAGUCUCAGUGGGGUGGACCCAGGGGAUCAUGUUUCCCUGGUGAUCAAAGGUGAGGACCUAGUCACCCCACUGGGCACGAGCCACAGCCCAGGGCCUGAAAUCUAGAGUCGUGCUGGGGCUCACCCGGCCCUCCCAUCGAGCGGCUUCUCGGCCCCGGUUCUUCUGGACGUCAUGCAGGGUCCCCUGAUCCACUAGCUCUCCUCUCUCCCCUGUAAUCUCCUCUCUCCUCUGGCCUCCUCCCUCCCCAGCUCCUGCCUGAGAAAAGAGGCAGCAGAGAGAAAUUCUGAGACCUCUGUGCCUGCCCUGUGCUCAGAACCUUCUCUCCUGGCCCAUCUGGGGUACAGCGCACCCUCCAUGGGUACACCUGGGAUGGAGUUGCAGAUUUACCGGGUUUACCCUCCCUCCCGAAACUACCAACACAACCAGACAAACUUGUGAACAACAGGACAUCAGGUGAGGAAGGAUGGCAGUCCCUGGGAGGUGGGAAACAGAUGGGUGAGUCCUGUGAUGGCCUGCUCCCUUCCUGAGAGGCUUAUGGGCUACAGAGCAGACAGGGGGGUUCCUGGACAAACAGAGAAGGCUCCCCAAGUUCAAGAGAUGGAGCUGGACAUCCAGGGAGAUAAAGGCAAUUAGGGUCUUCAGGACAGAGGACCCCUAAGGAGACUGCUGCCAGGAGAGAGCCCUGGUGAUCUGCUGAGGGUUCCCCAGGGCACUCACAUGCGUCUGUGAAGAGCGCCGUAAGUGGGGAGAGACUAGUGCCCGGUGCCCACAUGGGGCUCCACCAGCCAGACCAGAACCUCAGAUUCACUGAGUAUCGGGAUAGGGCUCAGGGGUUAACCCAGACUCUUCAGUCUGGACUGAGCACAGCUCCAAACUCACCCAACAAAUCACAAAAGCAAGACCAGAAACAAUCAAACAAUUUCUAAGUAACUUACUUGUAUCUCAGAAAAAAACUCAAGAAUAUUUCUCAGAAUACAAAAAUAUCAAGCCUCCAACCUGGUAAAAUCCACAACACCUGGCAUCCAAUUAAAAUGGACUUGCUACGGACUU